rnacentral:tRNA from 1 species
UUAUGAAGCUAAUUGCAGCGUUAACCUUUUAAGUUAAAGACUGGGGCCUAAUCCCCCGUAAUGA